rfam:Myotis davidii contig165393, whole genome shotgun sequence.
GGCAGUUCUUGGGUGAUGCACCCCAGAAUCAGGCUCCCUCCUCUCUGGUUCCAGUUGUGUUACCCAAGAACCGCU